CCAAGUGCUUUGCUGCUUCAUAGGUGUGAAACAACCACAGGGUAGAGAACACCUGAGGUCAGAACACCUGUCACUGUGAGCUCAAGCCAGAACUGUGAGGUCAUCCAGAGAAUGCAAUUCGGGCAACCCUCCUGGACAUGGACGCCCAGCCUCCAACAUGGUCCUGAUCACACCAGCUUUUUGGGUGGUCCUGUGUGGAGCCAGGAGUUGGACUCAAUGAUCCUUUGCAGUUCUAAUUAGACCCAUGGGUAUGAUCCACCACAAAUGCAGAAAAGAAGCAGCUAAGCAUCUUCGAGAGUGUGCUGAAUUGUCAUUCAAGGAACAAAGGAAGAAAUCUCUCCCUCAUUGCUGCCUGGAGUUAAGUGUUGCAAUGAAUUCAUUCCCAGGAAAGAGCCAGGUUAGUUCUGAAUUAACUCUGCUUUCCCACACAGCCUAAUACCUGCAAAAAUCUCUGUUGCUCCCAGCUGAAUUUGCUGAUACUGGGACUGUGGCAGGACUCUGGGGCUCUGCUUUGUCAGCCCAGCACAGCUGCAGGGCAAGGGCACUCCAACAGCAGAGGGUAAGAGAGGGAAAUAAAUAAAUCAGCAUCACUUCAGGAGAGCAGAACACACCUGGCUGCAGUGGAGAAAAGGGGUGGAAUAAAUGCAUUUACUUCCAGCUGUAAGCUGAAUUCUGUGAACAGCAGUUGAGUCGAUGCCAACCUCAGAACAGACAGAUGUUGCAGGAAAAAAAAGCAACUCACCAGUAGAAAUCCCCUCAGCAAAGCAUUCCCAUAGUCCCCACUGGGGAGGAUUUCAUGAGGGCUUGGCCCACAGAGUUUUUUUUUAAACCUUAACCUUUAAAAUAACCAAAAAGAGGACAGCUAGGAGAAAGAAAUCUCAGCAGCUCAUGGGACAUGUAUCUGGCCACAUUUUCAAACAGUCAUGAAACCCUUCCUGUGAAAUCCCUGCAGGGUUGCCCCAGCCAUCAGCAGCCUCUCUCCAUUCCAGAGACUCAUUUGUGCCAAGCUGCCAGCUUUGAUAGAGGCUGAGAGUACAAGACCUUGAGGCAGAUUUAUGCAGUGGGUCAAGACACAUGAACCUCUU